AGUGCUGUAAAGCAUUCAGGUGAUAGUUACUAAUAGGUCGAGGGUUUGACCAA
rnacentral:rRNA from 1 species